AGUGAACGCUGGCGGUAGGCCUAACACAUGCCAGUCGAACGGCAGCACAGUAAGAGCUUGCUCUUACGGGUGGCGAGUGGCGGACGGGUGAGGAAUACAUCGGAAUCUACUUUUUCGUGGGGGAUAACGUAGGGAAACUUACGCUAAUACCGCAUACGACCUACGGGUGAAAGCAGGGGAUCUUCGGACCUUGCGCGAUUGAAUGAGCCGAUGUCGGAUUAGCUAGUUGGCGGGGUAAAGGCCCACCAAGGCGACGAUCCGUAGCUGGUCUGAGAGGAUGAUCAGCCACACUGGAACUGAGACACGGUCCAGACUCCUACGGGAGGCAGCAGUGGGGAAUAUUGGACAAUGGGCGCAAGCCUGAUCCAGCCAUACCGCGUGGGUGAAGAAGGCCUUCGGGUUGUAAAGCCCUUUUGUUGGGAAAGAAAAGCAGCAGGUUAAUAUCCCGCUGUUCUGACGGUACCCAAAGAAUAAGCACCGGCUAACUUCGUG
rnacentral:rRNA from 1 species